AUGUCCCUCAUGCAGGUGUAUAUUUCCAUUCAUUCCUCUGCUCCUGCGGCAGCCAUGAUGGAGCCACAUCUGCAUGUCAAGCACUGUCCUGGGUGCGAGGGACAGGGACAGGAGGGCAUUCACAGCCUCCCAGGAGCCGGUGAGAGACAGAGACAGACAGUUCCCUGCAGCCUGUCCAGAGGUGAGACUCAGCCGCAUGCAGGGCUGGGCGCAGUGUGGCGCGCGGAGGGCCCGCCCCCAGUCCACGGGGCUGCUGUCUCAGACAUCACACAGUUCGCUUGCCGAGAUGAUGGGAAAAUACCGAAAUUGCGCAGCGCCCCAAAGCUGAGGAGGAGGUGUGAAUGCCCUCCUCACAGGUGUGAACACCCUCCUCGAAAGUAUGAACACCCUCCUCACAGGUGCUUACCUCCCUACUGGAACAUGACAGGUAAGUCUGACUGGCCAGCUCUUCUCCACAGCUCAGGGUCAGGGACUCCUCCACAUUUGGUACACUGGAGAGAGAGCCAAGUGGACCUGGAUCAAAGUCCCAGCUUUGCCUCACUACCCAUUUGAUCUUAAUCACUUCUUGAAACCUUCCCCUAAAAUGUUCAUGUCACAGAUUUGCUGUAUUAAAUGAGGCUGUCUCUCUCUCUUUCUCUCCUUCUCUCUUUCUCUCUCUCUCUCUCUCACACACACACACACACACACACACUCUGCUGAUGUUAGCUUCUAUCUUCAUUCAGGCUUCUAGAAAACAGGCUCUAUGAGAUUUGUGUGCAUUUUUAAACAGCUAUCUAAAUAUAAGGCCUAUCAUAUUUUAUUUUAUUUAAAAGGCAGAGAAACAAAGACCAAAAGUGAGAGAUCUUCCAUCUGCUAGUUCACUCCCCAAAUGCCUGCAAUAGCCAGGGCUGGACCAAGCUGAAGCCAGGAGCCUGGAAUUCAGUCCAAUUCUUCCAUCUGAGUGCUCGGGACCCAGCUACUUGAUCCAUCACCUGCUGCCCCCCAGUUGGAAGCCAGAAUUGGAAGUGAGGCUGGCAGUCACAGCCAGGCACUCCCAUACGGGAUACAGAAGUCCCAAAUGGUGUCUUGAUCUCUGCGUGAAGCCCCCACCCCUGUUUGCAUCUGUUGAGGUGUUUCUGGAAUGAAGCCCCCUGAGAGGGGGAGUUUGGGGAGUUGAGGGAGAUGAGGGACUGCCACACCAUGGCCACCAAGGCCUCAGCCAACCUCAUUAUGAGCUCAGGGCAGGUGGCCCUGCAGAGAUGUCCCACCUGAAGGUGGGGCCAGGCCUCUGUCUGCAGCGAGCUGUCACUGGAUGGCACUGCGGCUCUGGGCAGCUGAGGGCCUUUCUGGAAGGAAGGGAUCUGACCUCGCAGUCAGCACCGGGCAGCUGGGGCCGUGAGUGCCUCCAUCCUGGCUGACAUACGGCCAUGUACCCAGGCACCCACUGCACCCUCACCCCCAACCCCAAAACGGAUGCAAGUUUUCAACAAGUGAGCUAAGGUGACCUUAGCAGAGAGGCAACUGGGGGACCAGAGGCCAGGCUGCUGUAGGAGCCCAAGCUCUUCCUUAAAUGGGUGGAUUUGGACAAGUCUGCUCAUCUUUUGUUACUAGACUUUCUCAUUAAAAAAUAAAACAAAAAUAUAUUUAUUUAUUCA
ensembl:lncRNA